rnacentral:rRNA from 1 species
UACGUAGGGUCCGAGCGUUGUCCGGAUUUACUGGGCGUAAAGAGCGUGUAGGCGGCCAAGCAGGUCCGUUGUGAAAACUGGGGGCUUAACCUCCAGACGUCGACGGAAACCGCGUGGCUAGAGUCCGGAAGAGGAGAGUGGAAUUCCUGGUGUAGCGGUGAAAUGCGCAGAUAUCAGGAAGAACACCAAUGGCGAAGGCAGCUCUCUGGGACGGUACUGACGCUGAGACGCGAAAGCGUGGGGAGCGAACAGG